rnacentral:lncRNA from 1 species
AAGUCUGAAAGAGAUUCGGAGAGUAGUCGAUCAUUAUAGAAAAUCGGCUGAUAGUGAAGUUCAGAGAGCAUCUGGAACAGUCCGAUAGAUGACUGAAGGAGCUCAUUAUUGGAGAAGUCCGGAGGGUACAAUAGAAGUUCACCCGUUGGAGAAAUCUGGAGGACACUAUGGAAGGUCGACUGCUGGAGAAGUCCGGAUGGUACUGUGAAAGCUCGGACGGUCGGAGGAGUUCAAAAAGAUGCCGCACA